rnacentral:rRNA from 1 species
UGACGUUAGCGGCGGACGGGUGAGUAACACGUGGGUAACCUACCUAUAAGACUGGGAUAACUUCGGGAAACCGGAGCUAAUACCGGAUAACAUUUGGAACCGCAUGGUUCUAAAGUGAAAGAUGGUUUUGCUAUCACUUAUAGAUGGACCCGCGCCGUAUUAGCUAGUUGGUAAGGUAACGGCUUACCAAGGCAACGAUACGUAGCCGACCUGAGAGGGUGAUCGGCCACACUGGAACUGAGACACGGUCCAGACUCCUACGGGAGGCAGCAGUAGGGAAUCUUCCGCAAUGGGCGAAAGCCUGACGGAGCAACGCCGCGUGAGUGAUGAAGGGUUUCGGCUCGUAAAACUCUGUUAUUAGGGAAGAACAAAUGUGUAAGUAACUGUGCACGUCUUGACGGUACCUAAUCAGAAAGCCACGGCUAACUACGUGCCAGCAGCCGCGGUAAUACGUAGGUGGCAAGCGUUAUCCGGAAUUAUUGGGCGUAAAGCGCGCGUAGGCGGUUUCUUAAGUCUGAUGUGAAAGCCCACGGCUCAACCGUGGAGGGUCAUUGGAAACUGGGAAACUUGAGUGCAGAAGAGGAAAGUGGAAUUCCAUGUGUAGCGGUGAAAUGCGCAGAGAUAUGGAGGAACACCAGUGGCGAAGGCGACUUUCUGGUCUGUAACUGACGCUGAUGUGCGAAAGCGUGGGGAUCAAACAGGAUUAGAUACCCUGGUAGUCCACGCCGUAAACGAUGAGUGCUAAGUGUUAGGGGGUUUCCGCCCCUUAGUGCUGCAGCUAACGCAUUAAGCACUCCGCCUGGG